rnacentral:rRNA from 1 species
UACGUAGGGUGCAAGCGUUACUCGGAAUUACUGGGCGUAAAGCGCACGUAGGCGGAUCGUUAAGUCGGGGGUGAAAUCCCAGGGCUCAACCCUGGAACUGCCUUCGAUACUGGCGAUCUUCGAGUCCGGGAGAGGUGAGUGGAACUCCGAGUGUAGAGGUGAAAUUCGUAGAUAUUCGGAAGAACACCAGUGGCGAAGGCGGCUCACUGGCCCGGUACUGACGCUGAGGUGCGAAAGCGUGGGGAGCAAACAGG